GGUGCACCUUCCUGGGAAAAUGUAAACAGUGAGUAGACACAGGAGGAUUGGCAGAAACUGUUUUCUAAUCCCAUCCUUCAUUUUAAUGGUGGUGUUAUGGAAAGAGAAUCUGUGGAAGAGAGGUUAACACACUCUUUACAUGCUGCUUCAGCUCUUUUUUCAUUAUUUAAUCAUCCUGAAAUCAAAAAUGUUUAAUGAACAUGUUCAUGAGCUGUACCAAAGCCAUUUUCAGGAUCACAAACAUCAGUACCGGGGAUUUUUAUCCCUGUACAUUUGUGAAAAUCAAGAGCAGAUUGAUUCUCUGUUUGACUGUAUCCUAUGGAAUCCAUUUCCACCACAGAAUUAAGAAAGAAAAAAAAAAGAGUCAUUCAACAGAACAGCAACACUUCCUGUUCCUCAGAGGAUUAAAUCUGGAUCUUGUGAUGUGCAACAUUUCUGAUGUAUAUUCAUUCAACCAUGAGAUCCCAUGCUAAAGCUAAUUCUGUUGUUUUCUGUUUGUUAUAGUUAAUGUUAUCAUGAAAUCUGUAGCCUGGAAGCCCAUUUUUGGGAAUUCAGAUUAUCAACCGGAAGACGUUAAGCAUUACCAUGCGACACAGAUUAAAGGUCAGUGAUGCGUGAAGGGCGAGGAGAGGAGAGUGGACACAGACUGAAAGGAAGGACAGGACACUGCAGCAGCAGGUCCUGUGGAAAAUUCUGACUCCAAAACCUUAAAAGGUGAAAGCAAAACAGCCACAGGACAAGAACAUUUCCACAUGCUUUCCUUCCUGACCUUUCAUUAUACAAGAGCUGGAGGCUGCUUCUAUUCUCAGCAUAAUACAUAAUCAGAUUCCACGGCGUGAUUUUGAAUCCGUCUGAGAUCUGAAGGUUUACUGUAACGUGAGGAAUUUUACUGUUUUCAGCACAAACACCAGAGAACUUUGAUGUCCUUCAUGCUGCUGGAAAUGAAUAUCCUGAAAAUAUCCCAAAACUGAUGCUGUUGAUCUCAAAACACAACACAGCAUCAACUGACUCUGUACUGAGAGUUAACUGAGAGAGUGUUUCUAAACCACAGAAACCCUUUGGUCAUUUCUUUUUUUUUCUUUUCUGUUACAAGACAGAAGAUCAGUGGAGACAAAAGAACAUGCGUUGAGAUGUAAAGAGAGAAAUCCUCAUGUAGUGAACUGGGGCAAAGCAGAUGUCUGUUCAAACGAGUUCUUUGAUUCAAGACUACAUACUAUUUCUCAGAGGUGAUCCCGAACAAGUCAGUCCUUACAGACAGAACAAACUCUUUUUAUGUUGUUUUCUUUAUCUGUACAUCCCAUAGGAAAGAAAUCAUAAUUCUGAUCUCUUUUUCAAUAUAUUAAUUCUCUUUAAAAGCAAUUAGAGGGGAAAAAACAAACACCUGACAGCUAUGGUUUC